AUACGGAGGAUCCAAGCGUUAUCCGGAUUUAUUGGGUUUAAAGGGUGCGCAGGCGGAAGAUUAAGUCGGCGGUGAAAUUUUGCAGCUCAACUGUAAAAGUGCCAUCGAUACUGGUUUUCUUGAGUGUGGAUGAAGUAGGCGGAAUUUGUGGUGUAGCGGUGAAAUGCAUAGAUAUCACGAGGAACUCCGAUUGCGCAGGCAGCUUACUAGGCCAUAACUGACGCUCAGGCACGAAGGCGUGGGGAUCGAACAGGAUUAGAUACCCUGGUAGUCCACGCAGUAAACGAUGAUUACUCGCUGUUUGCGAUACACAGUAAGCGGCUUAGCGAAAGCGUUAAGUAAUCCACCUGGGGAGUACGUUCGCAAGAAUGAAACUCAAAUGAAUUGACGGGG
rnacentral:rRNA from 1 species